CCUCCUUCUUCGCGACCGGAGAAGAACAACCUUCAAUCGCUAGAUAAAACCCUAGGUCCAACCACCGGGAACCGUAGGGUCUGGAAACUUACCGGAAUAGGGUCAGGGACGUCAGAAAAUCACCCAAAACAUCCACCGAGUGAGGAUCGAGCCACCGGAUAGCAGUAAAACCCUAGGUUCAACCACCAGAAACCCUAGAAUUUGGAAAGUCACCGGAAAAAAGUCAGGGAUGUCGGAAAAUCACCCAAAACAUCCACUGAGUGAAGAUCAAAGCAUUAAAUAGCCGCAAAAGUUCCGAUUAUCCAGUCAAUAUACAUCGUUCUCUCGGUAAACAAAAUUUCUCACAAAUAUCCAGAAAAUCCUUCAAUAAAACUUCCAACACGAUCGAUAACAAGUAACGGAGAAGAAUUCUAGGAUCAUCCCGCUCUGAUACCAUGAACACGUAUAGAUUGAAGGCAAAACAAUGAAGAACACAGUGAGAGAAAGAGAGAAAUUGAGAGAGAAGUUGGUAGAACUCUCUGGAAUAACCGAGAGUGAAG
rnacentral:lncRNA from 1 species